UACGUAGGGGCCAAGCGUUGUCCGGAUUUAUUGGGCGUAAAGAGCUCGUAGGCGGUUUGUCGCGUCUGCUGUGAAAACUCGGGGCUUAACCCCGGGCCUGCAGUGGGUACGGGCAGACUAGAGUGCGGUAGGGGAGACUGGAAUUCCUGGUGUAGCGGUGGAAUGCGCAGGAUAUCAGGAGGAACACCGGUGGCGAAGGCGGGUCUCUGGGCCGACAUUGACGCUGAGGAGCGAAAGCGUGGGAGCGAACAGG
rnacentral:rRNA from 1 species